CUCAAAGAUUAAGCCAUGCAUGUCUAAGUAUAAGCACUUUAUACUGUGAAACUGCGAAUGGCUCAUUAAAUCAGUUAUCGUUUAUUUGAUAGUACCUUACUACAUGGAUACCUGUGGUAAUUCUAGAGCUAAUACAUGCUAAAAACCUCGACUUCGGAAGGGGUGUAUUUAUUAGAUAAAAAACCAACGCCCUUCGGGGCUCCUUGGUGAAUCAUAAUAACUAAGCGAAUCGCAUGGCCUUGCGCCGGCGAUGGUUCAUUCAAAUUUCUGCCCUAUCAACUUUCGAUGGUAGGAUAGUGGCCUACCAUGGUGGCAACGGGUAACGGGGAAUUAGGGUUCGAUUCCGGAGAGGGAGCCUGAGAAACGGCUACCACAUCCAAGGAAGGCAGCAGGCGCGCAAAUUACCCAAUCCCGACACGGGGAGGUAGUGACAAUAAAUACUGAUACGGGGCUCUUUUGGGUCUCGUAAUUGGAAUGAGUACAAUCUAAAUCCCUUAACGAGGAACAAUUGGAGGGCAAGUCUGGUGCCAGCAGCCGCGGUAAUUCCAGCUCCAAUAGCGUAUAUUAAAGUUGUUGCAGUUAAAAAGCUCGUAGUUGAACCUUGGGUCUGGCUGGCCGGUCCGCCUCACCGCGAGUACUGGUCCGGCUGGACCUUUCCUUCUGGGGAACCUCAUGGCCUUCACUGGCUGUGGGGGGAACCAGGACUUUUACUGUGAAAAAAUUAGAGUGUUCAAAGCAGGCCUUUGCUCGAAUACAUUAGCAUGGAAUAAUAGAAUAGGACGUGCGGUUCUAUUUUGUUGGUUUCUAGGACCGCCGUAAUGAUUAAUAGGGAUAGUCGGGGGCGUCAGUAUUCAGCUGUCAGAGGUGAAAUUCUUGGAUUUGCUGAAGACUAACUACUGCGAAAGCAUUCGCCAAGGAUGUUUUCAUUAAUCAGGGAACGAAAGUUAGGGGAUCGAAGACGAUCAGAUACCGUCGUAGUCUUAACCAUAAACUAUGCCGACUAGGGAUCGGGCGGUGUUUCUAUAAUGACCCGCUCGGCACCUUACGAGAAAUCAAAGUUUUUGGGUUCUGGGGGGAGUAUGGUCGCAAGGCUGAAACUUAAAGAAAUUGACGGAAGGGCACCACAAGGCGUGGAGCCUGCGGCUUAA
rnacentral:rRNA from 1 species